rnacentral:rRNA from 1 species
UCCAGACUCCUACGGGAGGCAGCAGUGGGGAAUAUUGCACAAUGGGGGAAACCCUGAUGCAGCGACGCCGCGUGGGCGACGAAGCGCUCCGGCGCGUAAAGCCCUGUCAGCAGGGAAGAACAAAGACAGUACCUGACCAAGAAGCCCCGGCUAACUACGUGCCAGCAGCCGCGGUAAUACGUAGGGGGCAAGCGUUAUCCGGAUUCACUGGGUGUAAAGGGAGCGUAGACGGCCAAGCAAGCCAGGGGUGAAAGCCCGGGGCCCAACCCCGGGACUGCCCUUGGAACUGCUUGGCUGGAGUGCGGGAGGGGCAGGCGGAAUUCCUGGUGUAGCGGUGAAAUGCGUAGAUAUCAGGAGGAACACCGGCGGCGAAGGCGGCCUGCUGGACCGCGACUGACGUUGAGGCUCGAAAGCGUGGGGAGCGAACAGGAUUAGAUACCCUCGUACA